CACCGAACGAGAUAGCGAACGGGUUCGCCAGUGGUCUCUGCGCAGUCCGCCAUGCACCCCGCCUACAUCGUCAAGUCGGACAGAGACAGGGGCAGCAGCGACUGCCUGCUGGCGGACUCUGGCGCUGAUGGCGCUGUCGAGCGAACGGUACUGAUUCCCAAAGUACGACCGAGGUGGCCAUCUUGUGUGGGAUGUGUUCGAGUCACUUGCUUGUCGUUUCUGGUGCUGUCCGUGAUCGCGGUGCUCGUGUGGGUCAUAGUUAGCGAAGCGAUACGCACUUCCUGAUGCAUAUGUGUUCGAAGACAAACCAGAUCAAGCAAAAGCUUCAGAACAUAUUUCAUCACUAAAGAUGAUGUGCCCUUUGCUGGACCAAGUAUUAUUCUCUUUGCAGGUUCAAGACUUGAAGUUAGAUAGACAGCAUUUAAAUUAGUUUUAUCCAUAUUAAUUUAUAACUGAGACGUCUAGAAAAAUGUCUCAUUGGUUUCCAUUUAAUAUACGUUCAGUUUAUGCAUAAUUACAAACAUACUAUAACUCCGUGGAAAAUUGAUUACGGAGUACUAAAUAUUUUCAGCAAGUUACAGACUUAGAUGAUAUGUAAAGUAUAACUAGUAAACACCUAAUUAUUUGCUCUAAUUAAGGAGACAAUGCCACAAAUUACAGGACUUUUACACUGAACUAACAUAACUCAAAUACUAAACAUGAAGCAAAUAUGAUCAGUUGUCUUAAACAUAGACAAAAUAUGCCUAAGCUGGGCAAUAAAAUUUUUAGAGUCCAUCAUUGUAUGGCUUGUUUGCCAAUAGAAAUGUCAGAAAAAUGUGCAGUGGCCAAUGGCAAUUAGUGCAUUGUGAGGCUAUAAAAUAUGUCACUUCAUACGUCCAAAUUUUAAUACAUGAAGUGUCAAAAUAUUAAAAGUGCAUUUAAAUACACCAUGUUAAAAAAUUAUACAUGUUAAAAUUUAAAGUGAUCUUUGUAUGAUUAAACAAAUAAUGAAUAAUAGUUUUUGCAUUUAUGAAUUCAGUUUUUAUUUAGGAAGUUGGAGCAGAAGAGAGAAUGUUAUUAAAAUAAUUAUUUGGGAAAAAAUUCAUAUAGAUGUAACACAUUUUUCUGGUAGAAAUCAGUGAAUGAUCCAGAUGCUUUAAAUGGAAAAAUUUUAGUGUGUGUAGUUAAAUUCUUUGGUUUGCAGGAACUAAUGGCAGUGUUUUCUGCACUUGUUAAAUGAGUUUUAAAGAAUGAAUUAUUGAUAGUUGAUAAUGAAAAAUUUAGUGCAUCUGCAUUAAAAAAACAGAACCCAUAUAAAUUACUUUCAUUUCUUAACUGUUGGCAUCACUGGUUAUCUUCCAUUAUCAUAAUGCAUAGCAAUGUAACUCACAGAAUGUUUAUUUUAAUCAAAAAACUUGUUAGAAGUACGUAAUAGUAAACAUGCUUUCAAAUUUAUAUAAAAAAAUGUAUAUUUAUGUUGAAUUUGUGUGCAAUUUGCAUGUAACAAAAUUAUUAAUUACCUUUUAUUGAAGUUA